rnacentral:rRNA from 1 species
GAUGAACGCUGGCGGCGUGCCUAAUACAUGCAAGUCGAGCGAACAGACGAGGAUCUUGCUCCUCUUACGUUAGCGGCGGACGGGUGAGUAACACGUGGAUAACCUGCCUAUAAGACUGGGGUAACUUCGGGAAACCGGAUCUAAUACCGGAUAAUAUAUUGAACCUCAUGGUUCAAUAGUGAAAGACGGUUCUGCUGUCACUUAUAGAUGGAUCCGCGCCGCAUUAGCUAGUUGGUAAGGUAACGGCUUACCAAGGCAAUGAUGCGUAGCCGACCUGAGAGGGUGAUCGGCCACACUGGAACUGAGACACGGUCCAGACUCCUACGGGAGGCAGCAGUAGGGAAUAUUCCGCAAAGGGCGAAAGCCUGACGGAGCCACGCCGCGUGAGUGAUGAAGGUCUUCGGAUCGUAAAACUCUGUUAUUAGGGAAGAACAAAUGUGUAAGUAACUAUGCACGUCUUGACGGUACCUAAUCAGAAAGCCACGGCUAACUACGUG